rnacentral:rRNA from 1 species
CAAAUUUGAAAUCUGGCUCUUUUAGAGUCCGAGUUGUAAUUUGCAGAGGGCGCUUUGGCUUUGGCAGCGGUCCAAGUUCCUUGGAACAGGACGUCACAGAGGGUGAGAAUCCCGUACGUGGUCGCUGGCUAUUGCCGUGUAAAGCCCCUUCGACGAGUCGAGUUGUUUGGGAAUGCAGCUCUAAAUGGGAGGUACAUUUCUUCUAAAGCUAAAUAUUGGCCAGAGACCGAUAGCGCACAAGUAGAGUGAUCGAAAGAUGAAAAGCACUUUGGAAAGAGAGUCAAACAGCACGUGAAAUUGUUGAAAGGGAAGCGCUUGCAGCCAGACUUGCUUACAGUUGCUCAUCCGGGUUUCUACCCGGUGCACUCUUCUGUAGGCAG